rnacentral:rRNA from 1 species
GACGAACGCUGGCGGCGUGCUUAACACAUGCAAGUCGAACGGUGAAGCGAGUGCUUGCACUCGUGGAUCAGUGGCGAACGGGUGAGUAACACGUGAGUAACCUGCCCAUCACUCUGGGAUAAGCACUGGAAACGGUGUCUAAUACUGGAUACGACCAACCCUUGCAUGGGGUGUUGGUGGAAAGAUUUAUCGGUGAUGGAUGGACUCGCGGCCUAUCAGCUUGUUGGCGGGGUAAUGGCCCACCAAGGCGACGACGGGUAGCCGGCCUGAGAGGGUGACCGGCACCAGGGGGACAGAGACACGGCCCGGCCCCCGGGGGGAGGAAGGGGGGGGGAUGAUGGAAAAAGGGGGGAAGGCUGGAUGCAGCGCCCCGGGGGGAGGGAGGGGGGCCUGCGGUUGUAAAACCUUUUGCAGCGGGAAAGAAGGGAAGGGGCGGGUCCCUGAAAAAGAGGCCCGGACUAACUACGGC